UACGUAGGUGGCAAGCGUUGUCCGGAAUUAUUGGGCGUAAAGCGCGCGCAGGCGGCCUCUUAAGUCUGAUGUGAAAGCCCCCGGCUCAACCGGGGAGGGCCAUUGGAAACUGGGAGGCUUGAGUAUAGGAGAGAAGAGUGGAAUUCCACGUGUAGCGGUGAAAUGCGUAGAGGAUGUGGAGGAACACCAGUGGCGAAGGCGACUCUUUGGCCUAUAACUGACGCUGAGGCGCGAAAGCGUGGGGAGCAAACAGG
rnacentral:rRNA from 1 species